rnacentral:rRNA from 1 species
UACAGAGGUCCCAAGCGUUGUUCGGAUUUACUGGGCGUAAAGGGUGCGUAGGUGGCGGGGUAAGUCUGGUGUGAAAGCUUCGAGCUCAACAUCGGAAAGCAUUGGAAACUAUCCCGCUGGAGGGUCGGAGGGAGACGUGGAAUUCUCGGUGUAGCAGAUGAAUGCGUAGAUAUCGAGAGGAACACCAGUGGCGAAGGCGAGUCUCUGGACGACUCCUGACACUGAAGGCACGG